rnacentral:rRNA from 1 species
CAUAAGUAACGAUAAAGCGGGUGAAAAGCCCGCUCGCCGGAAGACCAAGGGUUCCUGUCCAACGUUAAUCGGGGCAGGGUGAGUCGACCCCUAAGGCGAGGCCGAAAGGCGUAGUCGAUGGGAAACGGGUUAAUAUUCCCGUACUUGGUGUUACUGCGAAGGGGGGACGGAGAAGGCUAUGUUGGCCGGGCGACGGUUGUCCCGGUUUAAGCGUGUAGGUGUGUGUUCCAGGUAAAUCCGGUUCACUUUAACACUGAGGCGUGAUGACGAGGCACUACGGUGCUGAAGCAACAAAUGCCCUGCUUCCAGGAAAAGCCUCUAAGCAUCAGGUAACAUCAAAUCGUACCCCAAACCGACACAGGUGGUCAGGUAGAGAAUACCAAGGCGCUUGAGAGAACUCGGGUGAAGGAACUAGGCAAAAUGGUGCCGUAACUUCGGGAGAAGGCACGCUGACACGUAGGUGAAGUGAUUUACUCA